GACCCAAUAGCGCAACUGGUAGUGCACCUGUUAAACUUAGCCAAAAUUGAGGACAAUUAUGCAGGAGAUCCUCGUUCGAUUCGGGGUUGGGUCG